rnacentral:rRNA from 1 species
GACAGAGGGUGCAAACGUUGUUCGGAAUUACUGGGCGUAAAGCGCGUGUAGGCUGCUCGGAAAGUCGGAUGUGAAAGCCCUGGGCUCAACCUAGGAAGUGCAUUCGAACUUCCGAGCUGGAGUACUGGAGAGGAAGGCGGAAUUCUCGGUGUAGAGGUGAAAUUCGUAGAUAUCGAGAGGAACACCGGUGGCGAAGGCGGCCUUCUGGACAGGUAACUGACGCUGGAGGCACGAAAGCGUGGGAGCAAACACGG